GACGAACGCUGGCGGCGUGCUUAACACAUGCAAGUCGAACGGAAAGGCCCUGCUUUUGUGGGGUGCUCGAGUGGCGAACGGGUGAGUAACACGUGAGUAACCUGCCCUUGACUUUGGGAUAACUUCAGGAAACUGGGGCUAAUACCGGAUAGGAGCUCCUGCUGCAUGGUGGGGGUUGGAAAGUUUCGGCGGUUGGGGAUGGACUCGCGGCUUAUCAGCUUGUUGGUGGAGUAGUGGCUUACCAAGGCUGUGACGGGUAGCCGGCCUGAGAGGGUGACCGGCCACAUUGGGACUGAGAUACGGCCCAGACUCCUACGGGAGGCAGCAGUGGAGAAUAUGGCACAGUGGGCGGAAGCCUGAUGCAGCAACGCCGCGUGCGGGAUGACGGCCUUCGGGUUGUAAACCGCUUUCGCCUGUGACGAAGCGUGAGUGACGGUAAUGGGUAAAGAAGCACCGGCUAACUACGUG
rnacentral:rRNA from 1 species